ACUAAGUGGGGCUAGUAGGAUUUUUGAUGGGGUGCAAAGCAUUACAGCCAAUACUCCUGAUAUGAUAAAGGAGCAAAGCGAUGAUUUUGAUAAUGAAAGGGGAAAUGCAAGUGAAGCUGAAGAAUUAGCAAAAGAUGCAAUCAAUCCUACAAUAUGGUAUGAUUUUGAAACUGCAGAUAUAUUAAAUGAAAAAAUAGAAAAGAAAGAAAAACCUAUUUUUAUAUUUUAAUUUUUGUAGCCAUUUUGUAGUCAAAGUAAAUUUUAAAAUAUUCUAAGCAUUAUUUUUUAAUAUUUUUAAAUGAUAAUUCGAUUCCCCUCGCUUCCACCA
rnacentral:misc_RNA from 1 species